UGCCAGCAAGGCCCCACCGCUGCCGCGGAAGAUCAGCCCCACGGUGUACGAGACGUUCCUGGAGCAGAGCGACAUCGCAAGCGGAGGGAAGGCACCAGCAUUGCCGACACUGGAUGGAAAGAAGGGGCUGAAGUCACCCCCUCCUCCGCCACCAAAGUCCAAAUGGGUGUCACAGCUCUGACGCGAUGCCCACCCGUAGCUGCACCGUCCACUCGGGACCAGCCUUGCCCGUGAGGACGGGAAAGCCCGUGGCCCCCCUGCUCCCAGCUGUCUCCUAGACAGACUCCUGCUCUCAUCCUUCCUUGCUGGACAAUCCCUCUCACAGUUCUCUCGUAGCAUCCACGUCAGGAGCAUCCCACGUGGCCAAGGCUGCCGGACUCCCUGCGUGCCCAGGGCUGCAGGGCAGAUGCAGGGCAUCACCAGCCCACAUCCAGCCAGGUCUGGCGAUUGCCACCCUCCACCGUCUCCGAGGGUGCGCAAGCCCCGCAGCGGGCAGCACGGGGACCCACCUUCCUGCCCAGGGACACCUCCCCUGCCCCUGCGCUCUGCGUCAGCCCCCGGGCCAGGCUUUCCUUCCCGCUAACCCAAGCCAGCUACGCUUCACCAGUGCCAGGGCUUCUCCCCCCCCAAACUGCACUGAGCUCUCAGCCCCUCUGGUGGUGCAGCUACACCGCGGCGGAGAGGUCUUCCCUCCGCCCUGAGCUGCCUGCAGACCAUCCCAGGAGCAGGGCAACGAGACGAGCUCCCUGCCACCACGUGCCAGACUCUUCCGCCCCUGCUGCUCUCCACCCCAAGGGAACCUCCCUUCCCUUGGAUGCCUACCCCAUCCUGCAGCAAGAGCAAGCAUGUCUGGCCAGGACGCCAGGCUGCACAGGCUCCAGGCAGGUCGGCGAGCGUGGCCGGGCAGCGCUGUGUUUUGCGUAGCGCCAGUUCUCCUGCUGAUACCUGUCUCUGCAGCCCCACCGGUGCCAGGCUGAUGCUGCUGCCUCCAUCAGCCAUGCCAGGCUCCAGCGAUGCCACAGUGAUUCUCUGUGCCCCGGCCUCCCUGUUGCAGCAGGCUGCGACCACGCGCCUACCAAUAAAGGACUAACUCAGCUGGGUACCCUG